CCUACGGGAGGCAGCAGUGAGGAAUAUUGGGCAAUGGGCGGGAGCCUGAACCAGCCAAGUCGCGGGAGGGACGACGGUCCUAGGGAGUGUAAACCUCUUUUGUCGGGGAAAAAAGGCGACCACGGGUGGGCGGCUGAGUGUACCCGAAGAAAAAGCAUCGGCUAACUCCGUGCCAGCAGCCGCGGUAAUACGGGGGAUGCGUGCGUUAUCCGGAUUUAUUGGGUUAAAAGGGUGCGUAGGCGGACGGUCAAGUCAGCGGUAAAACUGCGGUGCUCCACGCCGUAACGCCGUUGAAACUGGCAGUCUUGCGUGGGCGAGAAGUAUGCGGAAUGCGUGGUGUAGCGGUGAAAUGCAUAGAUAUCACGC
rnacentral:rRNA from 1 species